UUAGGGUUCUCAAGCAAGGAUCAACAAAAUACAUACUACUAUCUCAAUUCUCUUCUCAAGCAACGGUGUUUUGAGGCUCUCAAGCAGCGGUCUUUUAGGGCUCUCAAGCCAAAAAAAUGGCUUCCUGUCCAUAUCAGAGGAGUACUUUAAGGGACAACCAUAAUAUUUUUGCUGCACUUAGUGACCACACCACACAAAUGCUUUUGCUGCACUAGGAAUGACUCCAAAAGAGGAUGUUGCUGAACAAGAUAUUGUAGGUAGAGUUGUACAUGGUCAUAAGAUUGUGUAAGGUGACACUGAAGUUGUGAAAGUAUCAAAAAGAGGCAGGGAAGUCAAGAAGAAAGUUAUGCAAGAUUAUGUGCAAGUUGUGGUGAAGAAGUGUAGACUCUCAAAGACAAAAUAGGGAUAUUUGUCUAAAAUUUCUUUUCUUUUGUAAAUGGCAUACACUUAUUGGCAUAAUAUAUUGUGUCUGCUUUUGUC